ensembl:lncRNA
CUUGGCUUAUAGAAGUUAAGGAAUUUGUCUAAGUUCACACAGCUGGGUCCUGGAAGCAUUGAGCCUAACCCUGGCCUCUUGACUCUGUUUUUAUUCCUCUGGAAUCUUAAUCCUUUUGAUGUGAGAAUGGGUGAAUUCAGGACUGGGGUGUUUCAUAAACUGUUUUAUUAAUUUAUGAAAUCCUUUUUACGUGAGAAUGACAGAAGGAAUCCUUUUCUGCAUGACCACUGCUGGGGUUGGACUUUUCAGGUAGAGAAGUUCUGUUUUCACACCAACUGGAUGAACUUCCUGGGAGGCCGGAAGGAAGCGAGGGGGAGUGAAUGGUGGGUUAUCAGAUGGCCUCCUCUGAACCUCCCAAACAGGGUUCGCUUGUGGUGAUAGCCAGGCGACCUUCUAUCAGGCUGACCUUCCUCAGAUAACACCUAUAAAAUCUGGGGCGUAGAAAAACUAUCUGAAGGCACUGAGCAUGAACAAAAGCAGGAAAAUUCUGGAAAGAAGUCAAUAUUCAGAAGAAGGGACUAGCACUGGGUGAGUUUCCUGUUUUUUGGGCUUCAAUCCUGAGAACAUAUGGCCAACAUAUGGGUAAGAGGAGGAGAGGAGAGAAAAUGGGACAGGAAAAAUAUUUGAAGAAAUUAUGGUUGAAAUUUCCCCAAAUUUGGUGAAAGGCAUUUAUAGAUACAAGAAGAUGAGUGAAACAGCAGAAUAAAUACAAAGUAAACCAUGCCUACGCACAUCAUAAUCAAACUGUGAAAAACAGACAAGUUUUGAAAGUGGCCAGAGCCAGAGUCACUUUAUACAGGACAAUAAUUCAAAAGUGCUCUGACUUCUCAUUAGAAACCAUGGAGGGAGCCGGCUCCGUGGCUGAGCGGUUAAGUUCGCGUGCUCUGCCGCGGCGGCCCAGGGUUUGGAUCCUGGGCGCGGACAUGGCACUGCUCGCCAGGCCACGUUGAGGCGGCGUCCCACAUCCCACAACUAGAAGGACCUGCAACUAAGAUAUACAACUGUGUACAGGGGUGGUUUGGGGAGAUAAAAGCAGAAAAAAAAAAGAUUGGCAACAGUUGUUAGCCCAGGUGCCAAUCUUUAGAAAAAAAAAAAGAAAAAAAGAAACCAUGGAGGCCAGAAAACAGUGGGACAACAUCUUUAAAGUGAUGAAAGAAAAAACAAACCUCUUGACCCAGAAUUCUGUAUCCAGAGAAACUAGUGUUCCCGAAUGAAGGUGAAAUAAAGACAUUUUUAGAUAAAACAAAAUGAAGAGUCUCUCACCAUCAGACCUGUGCUACAAGAGAUGCUAACAGGACUUCUUCAGGUGGAAGGAGAGUGAUGCCAGACAGGAACUUGGGUCUUCAGGAAGGAAUGAAGAGCAUGCAGGACGGUGAAUGUGUGGGUAAGUGGAAACAUCCUUGGCAGUCUGCUGCGCGGGCAGGAAGCUCAACCCAAAGAGUGGAGACUUGGGGGCACUGGUACAAACCAGACCCUGGUUGGAUGUCAACCAGAAGAAGCAGUUUUUAUUUAUUUAUUUAUUUUUAAGGUUUUAUUUUUCCUUUUUCUCCACAAAGCCCGCCAGCACACAGUUGUGUAUUUUAGUUGUGGGUCCUUCUAGUUGUGGCAUUUGGGAUGUCGCCUCAGCAUGGCUUGAUGAGUGGUGCCAUGUCCGUGCCCAGGAUUUGAACCAGUGAAACACUGGGCUGCUGAAUCGGAGCACAAGAACUUAACCACUCGGACACGGGCCGGCCCCAGGAAGAGGCAGUUUUGAGUGUGAUAUAGCUACGUUGUUUGUAUAUUGACCCUGCACACCGAACCUCCAGCCCACUUCCUGGGAACUUGUGCCAAGGCUUGGGGUGGAAGUUGGCGAGGGAGGUAGGAAAUGAUGGGUUUGUUCAUCCAAAAAAGAGAAUGGCAAAAACUGGUUCAUUAUUGACUGAAAAGCAAAGAUUAUCUGUUUGGGCUGUUUUAAAGAAUUUUAAAGAGGGCAGGAAAGGGCUGUGCCCCAUCUUAGUGACAGUGGCAUGACAAGAUUUGGUUUUUCUUUAGUUACUUGAAAUAACAGUCAACUUUUAUAUGUGUUCUUAUUUUUUUUGCGUGUGAUGGACAUUGGUCCUGAGCUAACAUCUGUGCCAAUCUUCCUCUAUUUUAUGUGGGACACCACCACAGCAUGGCUUGAUCAGUGGUAUAUAGAUCCACGACUGGGCUCUGAACCUGCGAACCCUGGGCCCCUGAGGCGGAGCAUGCCAACUCAACUGUCGGGCCUGACCCUAUAUGUGUUCUUAGAUUUCUACUACUCCUAACCUCAAAGGAACUUGAGGUACUGUGACGAGGAGUAAACACAUAAUAUCCCAGUUUCACGCAAUGGAAGCAGCAACAGAAACAGGAAGUAAACCAGAAGAAUUUAAAAGCAAGCAAGAAAAUAAACAUGUUCCAAGCAAAAGCAAGAAAAGUUUUUGUAGAAAUGAUAGUAGUCGAAAGCCUAAGCAUGAUACGAAGAGGUGGUAAGUAAUUCUGUCUGUUGGAGUGGCACCUGAGCGGCUGGAAGGCCAGAUGGAUAAAAACUUGGGAUGGGGAAGAAACAUUCCAAGCCAAGGGAAUAGCAAAAACAAAUAAGCAUUGGGAGCGAGGCAGCGGGUUGGAGAACUACAAGUAAUUUCAGGAAUUUUGCAGCUUUCUCUAUCUAGCUUCUUAGGUUUUUCAUUCAGCAAAUAAUAAUAAUUGCUAAUUGGUGCCAAUCACUGUACUAAUCGUUCAUGUUCAUUAUCUCACAGUAAUCUUAUCUAAUAGAUACUAUUGUUAUCCCCAUUUUAUAGAUGAGGAAGUUGAGGCUUUGAGAUUUACGUAACUUGCCCAAUGUCAUGUAGGUAGUAAGUGGUGAAGGCAGGAUUCAAACCCAGGCAGUAACUCUCAUUUUAGAGCCUGUCCUCUUAGCUUGUAACUUGUCUCCCAAACCAAGCAAAGCAGCUGGUAACUGAAGAAACAACCCUCUGGGUGUCCCCGAGUCUUCCUGUUUGCUGGAAUUACUGAGCCCUGAAUAUUUAAGUAAUCUUAGAUGGAACUUCCGUCAUGGCAACCCAACAUUUCAGACGACGAUGGGGGGUUAGGUGGAGCUUACAUUCCCCCUCGUAAUCUCUGGCUGUGAGUUCUUAUUGAUCCAAUUCUAGAGCCUCUACUCUCACCAUCCACUUUUUUCACCUUGGUGCCUGAUUCUGACCACCGAUCUGAUUCCUCCUUGCCCAAGUUCCACUGACGCGGAGCUUUCGUUGUAGAAGCUUUGACCGAAUGUUUGGUAAAGUGCUGUUAGUGGGUGAGAGCAAGUAGUAAAGUGCAAACUUGGAGACAUUCACCAUGGGCAAGUCCUGAUGGAAUUCUCACAGAAAACAAGUCUCAGCCUAACCUUGUUAUCAUUACCGAUGAUCAUUUACCUGACAUUGAUCAAGCGCUCUCAUCAUGCUGCGUGUGAUAUAGUCACAACUGGAAAAGCCUUCUGGCCGUCUCUCAAGAUUUUUUUCCUUAUAGCAUAAACGGAAAGAGGACAGUGAACACAAUAUACAAACCAAUUUGUUAAAUAAUCCUUAGCUUUUAUUUUUCUGUGAGUUCUUAUUAAAUGAAACAUAUGUAGGGAAAGGGUUACCCUGUUUGUUUGUGUUGGACUUUUUUGAAAUUUGGGAAAUAAUGUGUCAAAGUGUGGAGGGCAAUCUCUUGAAUAGAUCAAUAUGCCCCAGUCAAGGUCUAGUUCGCCUUUUCUAGGUAAGUAGGUGAAAGGGUAAUGGUGAUAAUGUGGG